UACGUAGGGUGCAAGCGUGUCCGGAAUUAUUGGGCGUAAAGAGCUCGUAGGCGGUUUGUUGCGUCGGCUGUGAAAUCCCGAGGCUCAACCUCGGGUCUGCAGUCGAUACGAGCAAACUAGAGUGUUGCAGGGGAGACUGGAAUUCCUGGUGUAGCGGUGAAAUGCGCAGAUAUCGGGAGGAACACCAAUGGCGAAGGCAGCUCGCUGGGACGGUACUGACGCUGAGACGGCGAAAGCGUGGGGAGCAAACAGG
rnacentral:rRNA from 1 species